AGUGAACGCUGGCGGUAGGCCUAACACAUGCAAGUCGAACGGCAGCACAGUAAGAGCUUGCUCUUACGGGUGGCGAGUGGCGGACGGGUGAGGAAUACAUCGGAAUCUACUUUUUCGUGGGGGAUAACGUAGGGAAACUUACGCUAAUACCGCAUACGACCUACGGGUGAAAGCAGGGGAACUUCGGACCUUGCGCGAUUGAAUGCGCCGAUGUCGGAUUAGCUAGUUGGCGGGGUAAAGGCCCACCAAGGCGACGAUCCGUAGCUGGUCUGAGAGGAUGAUCAGCCACACUGGAACUGAGACACGGUCCAGACUCCUACGGGAGGCAGCAGUGGGGAAUAUUGGACAAUGGGCGCAAGCCUGAUCCAGCCAUACCGCGUGGGUGAAGAAGGCCUUCGGGUUGUAAAGCCCUUUUGUUGGGAAAGAAAAGCAGCAGGUUAAUACCCCGCUGUUCUGACGGUACCCAAAGAAUAAGCACCGGCUAACUUCGUG
rnacentral:rRNA from 1 species